GAAAAUCUGACGCACCUCUCUUCUCAUCUUUCCAUUUCUUCUUUCUUCAUUUCUUCUUCUGUUUUUCUUCUCGCCAGACCCACCGAGAGAGAGAGUGACAUCGAGAGAUUGAGAGGAGAGAAACAGAGAAAGACAGAGAUGAGACCGAGAGAUCGGGAGAGGGAGAGUCAGAGAUCGGGAGAGAGGGAGCUGAACCCGGAACCUAGAGGACCCGAUCCUCUGUGGACGGUGGCCAGAACCAAAAUCCGGCGGUUCCAGUGGCGAUUCCGGCGAGGCCGUGACCCGCAACCCGCUAGACCCGAGAGAGAGAACCCGUGAACCGUUUGUGUGAAACCCGAACGACCCACCGAACCAGAGACGAUCUGGCAGCCUGAGAUGCAAUUUCCGGCGGGCCAGGUGUUGUUCCGGCCGAACCUCGAAGACCCAUGACCCAGAACCCGUGAACCGCGACCCGCUGAACCCGAUAGGAGACCCGGUUCUCUAUGGGUGUUUUCCGGCGAAUCUCCGGCGACUACCAGUGGCGUUUUCCGGUGGAUUUGUUGAGGAAAAUCCCUAAGAUGAUGAAUUGUGACUGCACAAAAGGGCUAUGUUUGCGCAGGUUCUGAAGAUUAUGGAAUGGAUUAAAUGCUAGCUUAAGAGAUUUAAAGCUAUUGUAGUUAGGAUUUUAGUGCUUGGUACUUGUAAAUGUUUGUAUUGUUCUGUAUGUAACAUGUUUAUGAAUUUACUUGUAUGUAGUAAGUUUCCAUGUAUGCUUUCGUGUCAUGUGUGACACAUGUUUCUUUGUAAUUAGUGUGAAAGACUUUUAAUGUAUUUCUAGUGGAUGUCAAUUAAAGCUCUAAAUGUAUUGUAAGGGAGUUGUCCCUGAUGGUUGUAAAGAAAAAAAAAAGAUAUUCGUAUUUUUUGCUGCCA